AGUGAACGCUGGCGGUAGGCCUAACACAUGCAAGUCGAACGGCAGCACAGUAAGAGCUUGCCCUUACGGGUGGCGAGUGGCGGACGGGUGAGGAAUACAUCGUAAUCUACUUUUUCGUGGGGGAUAACGUAGGGAAACCUACGCUAAUAUCGCAUACGCCCUACGGGUGAAAGCAGGGGAUCUUCGGACCUUGCGCGAUUGAAUGAGCCGAUGUCGGAUUGGCUGGUUGGGGGGGGAAAGGCCCACCAAGGCGACGAUCCGUAGCUGGUCUGAGUGGAUGAUCAGCCACAUGGGAACGGAGACACGGACCAGGCGCCUACGGGAGGCAGCAGUGGGGAAUGUUGGACAAUGGGGGCAAGCCUGGUCCAGCCAUACCGCGUGGGUGAAGAAGGCCUUCGGGUUGUAAAGCCGUUUUGUUGGGAAAGAAAAGCAGCAGGUUAAUACCCCGCUGUUCUGACGGUACCCGAAGAAUAAGCACCGGCUAACUUCGUG
rnacentral:rRNA from 1 species